rnacentral:tRNA from 1 species
UCUGUAGCUCAGUCGGUAGAGCAGUGGACUGAAAAUCCACGUGUCGAUGGUUCGAUUCCGUCCGG